ACAGCAGUAGCCACGGUAAUACGUAGGGUGCAAGCGUUAAUCGGAAUUACUGGGCGUAAAGCGUGCGCAGGCGGUUUUGCAAGUCAGAUGUGAAAUCCCCGGGCUCAACCUGGGAACUGCAUUUGAAACUACAAGGCUAGAGUGUGUCAGAGGGGGGUAGAAUUCCACGUGUAGCAGUGAAAUGCGUAGAGAUGUGGAGGAAUACCGAUGGCGAAGGCGACUCUCUGGUCUGUAACUGACGCUGAGGAGCGAAAGCGUGGGGAGCGAACAGGAUUAGAUACCCCUGUAGUCCCUGUCUCUUAUAC
rnacentral:rRNA from 1 species